CCGAGUCUUGUGUCUAAAAUCAUCUACUCGGCGAGAGCUUUCCAUAGACACCAAGAACGCCGAAAUCCAUCGAGCGGUAUGUCCGAUUUUUGCUCGGGAAGAUUUUAGCCCAUUUCGACUUUUGGGCUAGAUUUCUAGAAAACCGUGAAUCCCACGAGAAAACCGAGGCCACCAGCACGCUCCAUUCGUCGAGAGCUUCGCAACGACAUAAAUUUUGAAUUUUUCCGACAUCGUUUUUCGGUAUCCUCGAUUCGCGGAAAUUCGACAGUUGACCGGGUCUGCAAAUUUCGGGCCAGACAGACCCGUUACCGGAAAAGUCUCCGAAUUGGACCGAGGUUUUGGCUAGCCCCCCAUUGUCAGACGUCCCGAGCGUGUUCCCGAAGUCGGAAUCGGCAAAGGUGAGCCGGGACAGCCUUCUUCCUCCGCCCAGCCGCCUCAGUGACCAUCGUCAAGUCUGUGAGUAAAAUAUUAAUUUUAAUUGUAAUUUCGAUAUUAUUAUAUGUUCAGCAUGCCCAUGCAUCACUUAUAUGCAUAUAUUUAUGUAGUUAAACUCUAGGCACGAUUUAUGUUGCAUUCAUAACUGUUGAUGUGCCAUGGAUGUUGUUGUGGUAAUUUGGAGCAGUGUGCGUUCGUUGGCGUGCGUGUGAUGUGGU